rnacentral:rRNA from 1 species
UACGAAGGGGGCGAGCGUUGUUCGGAUUUACUGGGCGUAAAGGGCGCGCAGGCGGCUCAUUUUGUCAGGCGUGAAAGCCCCGGGCUUAACCUGGGAACUGCGUUUGAUACGGAUGGGCUAGAGUUCGGGAGAGGAGAGUGGAAUUCCCAGUGUAGAGGUGAAAUUCGUAGAUAUUGGGAAGAACACCGGUGGCGAAGGCGGCUCGCUGGACCGAUACUGACGCUGAGGCGCGAAAGCGUGGGGAGCAAACAGG